rnacentral:lncRNA from 1 species
ACUGCUGCUGUUCUUGAUGUCACUGGGAAUCUCAGGCUCCCAGGAAACAAGAAGUUUGGAUGAGAACUACUUAAGAAAAGAAGGGCAGAUGUUGAAUGUAAGCUGCUCGUAUCCUCUCAAGGACCAUGAGAAGUCUUGGAAAGUUUGGUGUAAACUACAAGAGAAUAGAAAGGAUUGUAACAAAUUAGUGGUCAUAACAAAAUUCUGGGUUUUCACCAAAGAAGGUAAAUUCUCCCUUCAAUUAAUUGAUGAGUCUAAGUCUGGCCACAUCAUCAUCAUAAUGUCAGGACUCAGGGAAAAGGACUCAGGACAUUACUGGUGCAUGACCAUCAAGAAAAACAAUGCCAUUAUCCUCAAGAGAAUCCACCUGGUAGUGUCUCCAGCCCAGAACACCACCAAAGAGAUUUGGACUACUUCAGGAGUCCCUUCCAACACUCCAGCCACCUGCAGUUUCUUAGAAAAGGAGAAAUUCCUCAUUUUGGGUGUGGUCCUGACCUUCCUGCUCCUAUUAGGGGUCCUUAUUACAGGAACUGUGUACAUCAAGAAACUCCACCAGAAAGUCAAGAAAGGGCAUCACCAAGGAGAUGGACUAUGAAGAAGGUCCUGGGGACAUCCAUUAUGCCUCAGUGACCUACAUUGGCCCCAGAGAACCGAUGUGCACAAACACACAGAAGGCAUCCAGCUCGAAGACUAUGCAAAUGCCCUUUGAGUCUGUGGAAUAUGCCAGCAUCACAAGGGCUGAACAUCAGCAUCCCAAAUCAACAGCCAUAUAUGAGUCAAUGGGCAAGGAGAGUUAGUCAUCUGUAGGUGCUUAAUAAAUACAUGUUGAUUGCUAAUAUAGAAAUAUGU